GCUUCAUUCAGACUCCUCCCUGCAUCUGCUUGAUAUCACUCUGCAGCUUGCAUCAUCUAUGUGUAUAUAUCACGGAGCAACUGUUUUAAAAUUCGGCUGAAUACUCAAUAUUUCAGGCCUUUUCACCAAGAAUAGCUGACCUUGCUCUUCUGAACACUUCUGUAAGUGAAAUGGAAUGCUACAGCUGCAACAGGUAGCAGGAAUUUGAAGUAGAGGUUGACUCCAGCAAAGCAAUCUGGAGAGGGAGGAUGCCACUCAUGUCGCCUUGGAACUGCUGAGUAAAAUCAAGAUAAAGAAAAAGGCUACUGCUAUGACAGUGUGUACACAAAAGAUAAAGAAGAAAAAAAAGGAUAUUGUGCCUACCUUAUGAAGUGAUUACAAAGAUAGCUACCAACAGAAUGUUUCUGUAAGCGAUAAAGAAGAUAGAUAAAUAUGAAAAUAAGCGAAUGGAAAAGUCAUACAGAUCACAGAGCUGAUUUUCUGAAGGAGAUGCAAAUAUGAGCACAGUGAACUCGUCUAGUACCUUAUUGCCUGUCACUAUCUCCAAAUCAAAAUAUUUCAAGAUUCUUUCACAAUUAAGGAACGUGAAGGUUCUUCAAAGUGUGGACUUGAAGUUUUCUCCCUAACCAGUCGCCAAUACUAUUAAAUCCUUUCCGAAACAAUUAAACUGUUUUAAAACCAGAAAAAGGAGAAGGAGCACGUGAAACCAUCAGGAAGGAAGUUGAAAGAAAUCCAGGGGAAGUUAAAAGCCUAAGUUAACUAUUCCCUGUAAGGAGAAUUAUUUGCUAUAGGAUAUUUUGGAUAAAGAAAUUUAUGUGGACUAAAAAAGUGACUGCACGAAUAUAUGGAGUGACUAUUAAAAAUAAAAACACCACCUCUUGCUGAGAAAGACUCUGAAUCUUGAAAACUAAGUCAAUAUUCUCAGGAAGUAUCGCUUUACAUUUAACCUGUUGUUUCCCUCUGCUCUAGACACCAUAACUGGCUGCUGGGUGCUUCUGCAGAGAGGUCACUUGGCUCAAGAUUCAUUUGGUCUAUACUAAAAUAUCUUAUACAUAUCAGCAUGGUCUAACUGUUGAUAAGUUCAAAAAUAUAAUGCAUAUGUAUUUAAUGACAUACAAAGUCAUUCACCACUUGCACAAAGCUUAAACCAGCACAACCCCGGGAUAUGACUUACUACAUUACAGUAAACAAUGAAGGAAUUGAAUUCUAGGCACUGUUUGCAAUAGACACAAGUGAAAAGGUGCAGAGUGGUUAUUCUGUGGUCUACAGCUUUCUGUUGCCAGAUUCUACUGUUUGUGUCUCUUAACUAAUCACUAUAUAUGUCAGUUUAAGAUUACUUUAAGGAGCAGAAUAACUCAGUAUGUUUUUCCAGUAAGAAAAUUGCUAUGUGUCCACAGUGUGGCAGUGUCUAGGUACAGAUAUGUCCUGCAUAAGUGCAAAAUAUUCUCAGUCAAUUUCACAGUCACAUCUCUUGCUAUAUUUCAUCUGUUGUUCCUUUUUUUCUCCUGUCUUCCUUUCUCUGUAAUAAAUUGAUCCAAGUGUAUUCUGCAGCUGUCAACCUACCUUUGCUGAAAUUUAAAACUUAUGAAAAAUAUUUUAGUUACUGUAUGUUCUGGACAUUUGAGAAAAUAUAUUAAACUACAACUUUGCUUUC
ensembl:lncRNA